rnacentral:misc_RNA from 1 species
GAAAUGCGAUAAUUAAUGUGAAUUGCAGAAUUCAGUGAAUCAUCGAGUCUUUGAACGCACAUUGCGCCCCCAGGUAUUCCGGGGGGCAUGCCUGUCCGAGCGUCAUUGCUGCCCUCAAGCACGGCUUGUGUGUUGGGCUUCCGUCCCUGGCAACGGGGACGGGCCCAAAAGGCAGUGGCGGCACCAUGUCUGGUCCUCGAGCGUAUGGGGCUUUGUCACCCGCUCCCGUAGGUCCAGCUGGCAGCUAGCCUCGCAACCAAUCUUUUUAACCAGGUUGACCUCGGAUCAGGUAGGGAUACCCGCUGAACUUAAGCA